UGUUUCGGCUAGGGGGUCAUCCCGACUUACCAACCCGAUGCAAACUACGAAUACCGAAGAAUGUUAUCACGGGAGACACACGGCGGGUGCUAACGUCCGUCGUGAAGAGGGAAACAACCCAGACCGCCAGCUAAGGUCCCAAAGUCAUGGUUAAGUGGGAAACGAUGUGGGAAGGCCCAGACAGCCAGGAUGUUGGCUUAGAAGCAGCCAUCAUUUAAAGAAAGCGUAAUAGCUCACUGGUCGAGUCGGCCUGCGCGGAAGAUGUAACGGGGCUAAACCAUGCACCGAAGCUGCGGCAGCGACACUAUGUGUUGUUGGGUAGGGGAGCGUUCUGUAAGCCGUUGAAGGUGGCCUGUGAGGGUUGCUGGAGGUAUCAGAAGUGCGAAUGCUGACAUAAGUAACGAUAAUGCGGGUGAAAAACCCGCACGCCGGAAGACCAAGGGUUCCUGUCCAACGUUAAUCGGGGCAGGGUGAGUCGACCCCUAAGGCGAGGCCGAAAGGCGUAGUCGAUGGGAAACAGGUUAAUAUUCCUGUACUUGGUGUUACUGCGAAGGGGGGACGGAGAAGGCUAUGUUGGCCGGGCGACGGUUGUCCCGGUUUAAGCAUGUAGGCGGAUGUUCCAGGUAAAUCCGGAACGUUAUUAACGCUGAGGUGUGAUGACGAGGCACUACGGUGCUGAAGUGACAAAUGCCCUGCUUCCAGGAAAAGCCUCUAAGCAUCAGGUAACAUCAAAUCGUACCCCAAACCGACACAGGUGGUCAGGUAGAGAAUACCAAGGCGCUUGAGAGAACUCGGGUGAAGGAACUAGGCAAAAUGGUGCCGUAACUUCG
rnacentral:rRNA from 1 species